rnacentral:rRNA from 1 species
GACGAACCAUGCAAACGUUAUUCGGAUUCACUGGGCUUAAAGCGUGCGUAGGCGGUCUUGUUAGUCAGGUGUGAAAGCCCUCAGCCUAACUGAGGAAUUGCGCUUGAUACUGCAUGACUAGAGAAUGAUAGAGGUGGGUGGAACUGAUGGUGGAGCGGUGAAAUGCGUUGAUAUCAUCAGGAACACCAGUGGCGAAGGCGGUUCUCUGGGCAUUACCUGACGCUGAGGAGCGAAAGUGUGGGGAGCGAACAGG